GCUGGGGACCGGUUCGACCGAUUUCAGUUGGCUCAUUACGUGGCUGACUCCCAUUCUCACUCCUCUGUUAGUAAUAGGACUUCUAUUAAUGGUCGCUCCCUGCCUCCUCAGGUUCGCCUAAAAGUACAUGAGUGAAAUCACCAGAGUGACCUACUACCAGAUGCUCCUACACUCCUACAGUCGCCUCCCCACCAAACUGACACCCUUCCAGAACCUCUAGCCAGCAGGAAGUAGCCAGAUGGAAUUUGGCACCCUAUAUCAUCAAAAAGGCCAGGAUGCUAGGUAUGUUGAGGGGGCUAAGGGAUCAAAGCACCAGGCAACAACCAAUCAGGGGCCAACAGAAAGCAGUGAUAGUCGCCUGUCAAUCAGUGGGGUCUCCUGACUGAUCCUGGAAGGACAUGGAGCUCAGCAAGAUCCUCUGACCAACCCCAGGAGGACAAGGGACCCUAAAAACCUCCCUUUCCUGUCUCAAGCCCUCCCUUCCUUCCCUGAGCCUGAUAAAUUUACGAUCCAUCUGAGCCUGGGUACGACUUCCCUGGACCCCCUCGGUUGGACUAGAGGUUCUCACCCAGGAGCGAACCUCAAUAAAGCCUUGUUCAGCAGCUUUUAAUCUGCCUCCUCUUGGUCACUGGUGCCUGACCUUACACCACUAAUUUAUGUGAGAUGCCUUUGAUUCAUUGUAAGACUCCAAUUUAAAUUAUUUUAUUUUAUUUAUGAAACAGCUUACCUUGUGUUUUUGUUUAUUUGUUUGUUUUGGUACCAGGAAUUGUACCCCGAGGUGCUUGAUCACUAAGCUACAUCUCAGGCCCUUUUUAUUUUUUGAGACCAUGUCUCACCAAGUCUUAGAACCUCUCUAAGUUGUUAAGGUUGGUCUCGAACUUGGGACCGUCCUGCCUCAGCCUCCCAAGCUGCUGGGAUUACAGGUGUGCACCAUCACGCCUGGCAAACAGCUUACCUUUUGUCCAGUUUUACACACGUAAAGAAUUAGGACAGUACAAAGCAGCCAUAGUCCGUCUACACGGGGUUACACAUAUCAGGUAUUUUCAGGAACUAUGACUAAACCAUCCACUGGAUGUAUUUGCCUGUUUCCAGGCUUCUGUGUGGCACCUGCUGCAUUGACCCCAGGGGCCUCUCGCCCCCGCCAGACCUAGUCUUGUUUCUCCACAUCACCUCGCCCCGUUCUUUUGAACCAGAACUCAGGCACCUCUCAUUUCAUUCAUACCACUUUCAAUGUAUCUCUAAAAGACCAGAAUCAGAAACCUCUUUGCAGGGCAGGGAUGUGGCUCCAUGGUGGGAUGCUUGCUAGGAAGCCUCAAGUCCCAGGUUCCGUCCCCAGCACUGGAAAAAAAAUCAUGGUUCCAUUAUCAUUCCUAAAAAUUACUGGUGACACAGUGUUAUCAAAGAGCCAAUUUGUUCAUACAAAUGUAUCCAUUUGUCUGAUUUUUAAAAAAUGUUUUACACAAUUUGUCUGCAUCAGGUUGCAGAGAGGUCAGCACACCUGAGGUUUCUCCUGUGUCUUUUAAGGCUCUCUUGGUCUGUCCCUCUCUCUUCCCCCCUUGCUGCUGUUGUGUUGAAGAAGUCAGGUGGUUUGUCCCAUAGUGUUUCCAGGGUUGAGCACCCGUGGGGUCCUUGAUGUCCUUCCCCCCCCUGGACCUCCUGUGAGUUGGUUGUUAGAUCUCAGGGCUCCAUGAGGUUCAGGCUUGGUGCUUGGCCCAGCAGGCACGUGCUUAGGGAGUUUGGAAGGGGAGGCCUGGCGUACCCCAGUUUGGGGUGGAAAGGUGGGCUGAGGCGUCCCCCUGUGACAGCCACUGUGGUUUAACCAUCCAGAAUCAGCUGGCACUGCUCUUUCCCCCAAGUGCUCUGGUGGGUACUACUUUAAAUACUCGAUGAAACCAGCAAAAGUAAAUGGAGCAGGGAGACAGGAAAAGACCCACCCAUGGGUAAUGUGCACAGGGAUGUGAAGGGCUGUGGUGGCUGUGCCCGAAGCCCACUCGGGCUGACCCAUCCAGGGAAGGUGACCUCCUGCCCUGUCCCCCAUGGCUGCACCCACCUCCAGCAGGGCCCUGGUGGCAGGAAGUGCCUCAUUGUUCCAACUUGCACAUCAAGUGCCAGCAGCAGGAACCUCUUGUCACACGCUUGAUGCCGUUUGUGUGGUGUCUUGAGAAAUGUCUCUUCGCCUCUUUUUGCCCAUUUGAAAAAUUGGGUUAUUUGUGUUUUUAUCAUUGAGUUGUAAUGAUGCUUUAGUAUUGUGGACACCGGCCCCUGUAAGGGGUGUGACCCACCACGUUCCUCCUCCGUGGUCGGAUCAUCAUUUUCUGUUUCUUUGAAUACUUUCUCUGCCCCCAUCCUCCUCUGAUCCUCUGCCUACCCAGGUAGGCCCUUGUCACAGUCCCCCAGUUUAUUGUCUUUAAGACAAUAGAUUUGUUAAAGCACAAUUAAUGCCAACAUUUUUUUAAACACAUGUAGAUGUGCAAUGUAUGAUAACAACACAAGAGACCAGGCCGGAGACUUGGAAAUACGCUGUCACGUGGUUCUUGCACGGGGUCAUUUGAAGGUGGACUGGUUAAGGUAAAGAUGUGCACUUAAACCCUAUUGUAAAGGAGUCACUAGCGUGACACAGAGCUGUAGCUAUUAAGCCAACCAAGAGAAUGAGGUGCAAUCUUAAAAAUAACUCAUUGUGCUGGUGCAGUGUCACACACCUGUAAUCCUAGCUGCUCAGGAGGCUGUGCAGGAGGUUCGCAAGUUCAAGGCCAGCCUCGGCCACUUAGCAGGACCCUGUCUCAGAAAGGGCUGGGCAAACAUACAAUGCUCUUGAUUUGUUGAUUAUACAUAUCCUUUGAUUAAAGUCCAAACAUAACAAGUCUUUAGAGACAUUUUGUAUCAAAAAAAAAAAGAAACUGUGUUCUUUUGCAAGUUGCUAGAUAAUGUAGAAAUUUGGUACAAAAAAAACAAAAUGCAAAAAAAUGUGUAUGUGUUUAUAGUGAAUAGGAUUGCCUGAGGCGUGUAAUACUUGUUUAUUUAGUGUGUGCCCUUGCAGACUAUUUUACAUGUUUGUAUGACAGGACAUACAUGUAUGUGUGAGAGAGAGAGUGUGAGUGUGUGUGUGUGUGUGUUUGUGUGUGUGUGUGAGAGAGAGAGAGAGAGUGUGUGUGUUUGUGUGUGUGUCUUUUAUAUACAAAAGAGGCUGAAAUGUCUCUCCAGGCAGAAUAUGGGAUCAGACCCGAGCCUGUGCAGGGAGUUGUGUGACCAUUAACUACGCUGAUCUGAUGGGCCACAAGUCCCAAUGUGUAUCACCCACACUUCAGUCAGCAACAGCAGCCAAUCUCCCAACUGUAGCAGCAUUAGUUAGUUUCCCUGCACACUCUGUGUUCCUGAUAUCACAGUGCUAUAACUUGGUGGCCCUCGUUAAGUAAAGUCAUAUUUGCAAAACAGCAUUAUUUGUUUUUAAAGCUUUUAAAGAAAUGAUUUUCUUGGGGAAAAAAUAAAAAGGCUUGGGACCCAGCUCAGUGGUGGAUUGCUUGCAUCGAUGUGGGAGGCUAUGGGUUCCAUCCCCAGCACCACAGAACAAACUGAAAAAGCCCUCAAUCCAAGAGAAGGCAGGAAAAGAGGAGAAGGGGAACAAGGAACCGGCGGCCCCAAAGAAACGAAGGCACAGCCUGGGAAGUUCAAACCAGCUGUUCCUCAACCGCACUAAGUGCAAGCCGUCUGAACACGUGUGCACAUCCUGUCAGCGCACUGUGCUGUGUCCUGUUGUGCUUAACUUUCUCCUGGUGUUCCCCUUCAGGGUCUGUCCACUUCUGGCAGCAGCUGGUCCAGCCUCCAGCUUUGGUCAUGGCGUCACCCACCUCUCCUCGCAGUUCUCAAGUAUUUUAAUGUUCUGCCGUGCAGUGCAUGCUCCCUGAGGAUGGUGCGUCUUGGAGAACUGUCCCAUCAUCAUUCAGGUGGUGUCCCUCUUUGUAAUUGGCGGUUUUCCUUGCACGUAGUUAAUAUAGUCUGAGCUUCAUACAGUGACUACGGCUUUCCUUCACUAGAGUUGGCCCCACGUUUCCCUCUUCAACACUUCACUCUUAAUCUAUGGCGGUCCCCUCUUACCCACGGUUCAGCUCGCCAAGGUUUCAGGUACUUGUGGUCAACUGCAGUCCAAAACUGUUAAGUGGAAAAUUCCAGAAAUAAAAAAAUUUCCUAAGUUUUAAAUUAUAUUUCAUUGUGUGCAAUGCUAUGAAGUCUCGUACUGUCCCCCUGAGGUAUG
rnacentral:lncRNA from 1 species